rnacentral:rRNA from 1 species
CUACGGGAGGCUCCAGUGGGGAAUAUUGGACAAUGGGGGAAACCCUGAUCCAGCAAUGCCGCGUGUGUGAAGAAGGCCUGCGGGUUGUAAAGCACUUUCGGUUGGGAGGACUGCUUCUAGCACUAAUAUUGUUGGAAGUUGACGUUACCUUCAGAAGAAGCACCGGCUAACUCCGUGCCAGCAGCCGCGGUAAUACGGAGGGUGCAAGCGGUAAUCGGACUUACUGGGCGUAAAGCGCGCGUAGGCGGCUAGAUCAGUCGGGUGUGAAAGCCCCGGGCUUAACCUGGGAACUGCAUCCGAUACUGGCUAGCUUGAGUACAGGAGAGGAGAGUGGAAUUCCACAUAUAGCGGUGAAAUGCGUAGAUAUGUGGAGGAACACCAAUGGCGAAGGCAGCUCUCUGGCCUGAUACUGACGCUGAGGUGCGAAAGCGUGGGGAGCAAACAGGAUUAGAUACCCGCGUAGUC